rnacentral:rRNA from 1 species
UAGCUGGUUAUUCAGGAAAAGGAUAUUAGUCCGACUUUAAACCUUAACAUAAUAUUAAAUACACCAACAGCUUUAAAACCCAUUCAAAUAAGGUUCAGCCUAUUUGAAGCAGGAUACAACCUAUGACAUCGGGUAAUGCCUAAGCAUGUGACUAAGUAGGCCUAAAAGCAGCCACCUUCCAAAAAGCGUUACAGCCUAAUCACACUUUAUUACCAAUCUCAACAUCAAACUCAAAACCCUUCACCCAUACUGAAUGACUCCAUACCAAUAUGGAAAACCUUAUGUUAGAACUAGUAACAAGAAUAACUAUUCUCCCUAAAAGUACGUGUGAGCCGGAAUGAAUAAAUCACCGGCACUUACCGCCAUGAACCCACAGUAACAACUCCUUCAAGAAAACCCUACUCCCUCCGGCGUCAACCUUACACCAGAACUUUCCUAGAAAGAUUAAAAAAGGGGGAAGGAACUCGGCAAACAUUGAUCCCGCCUGUUUAC